GUGAUCCCUUCAGCAGCACAUAUACUAAAAUUAAAACAACAGAAAAUGAACAUGGACUCCUGCGAGCAUGAUCUGCAAAUUCAAGAAGCAUUUCAUAUUUUU
rnacentral:snRNA from 1 species